GAUGAACGCUAGCGGCAGGCCUAACACAUGCAAGUCGAGGGGUAACUAGAGUGAUAGCAAUAUUACUUUGGCUAGACCGGCGCACGGGUGCGUAACACGUAUGCAACCUACCUUAUACUGGGGAAUAACUUCGAGAAAUCGGCGCUAAUACCCCAUAACAUUGCGAAGAGGCAUCUCUUUGCAAUUAAAGCUCCGGCGGUAUAAGACGGGCAUGCGUCCAAUUAGCUAGUUGGUGUGGUAACGGCUCACCAAGGCUACGAUUGGUAGGGGUUCUGAGAGGAUGAUCCCCCACACUGGUACUGAGACACGGACCAGACUCCUACGGGAGGCAGCAGUGAGGAAUAUUGCGCAAUGGACGAAAGUCUGACGCAGCCAUGCCGCGUGCAGGAUGACGGCCCUAUGGGUUGUAAACUGCUUUUGUACGGGAAUAAACCCUUCUACGUGUAGGAGGCUGAAGGUACCGUAAGAAUAAGCACCGGCCAACUCCGUGCCAGCCGCCGCCGUAACAC
rnacentral:rRNA from 1 species